AUUGAACGCUGGCGGAAUGCUUUACACAUGCAAGUCGAGCGGCAGCACGGGGGCAACCCUGGUGGCGAGCGGCGAACGGGUGAGUAACACAUCGGAACGUACCCUGUCGUGGGGGAUAACGAGUCGAAAGAUUCGCUAAUACCGCAUACGACCCGAGGGUGAAAGCGGGGGAUCGCAAGACCUCGCGCGACUGGAGCGGCCGAUGGCGGAUUAGCUAGUUGGUGGGGGUAAUGGGCCCCACCAAGGCGACGAUCCAUAGCUGGUCUGAGAGGAUGAUCAGCCACACUGGGACUGAGACACGGCCCAGACUCCUACGGGAGGCAGCAGUAGGGAAUCUUGCGCAAUGGGCGAAAGCCUGACGCAGCCAUGCCGCGUGAAUGAUGAAGGUCUUAGGAUUGUAAAAAUUCUUUACACCGGGGACGAUAAUGACGGUACCCGGAGAAGAAGCCCCGGCUAAACUUCCGUAGCCAGCAGCCGCGGUAAU
rnacentral:rRNA from 1 species